rnacentral:tRNA from 1 species
CCCCACGGAGUGACCCACACCAAAAUGCAAAUUUGGCAACGUACCCCAACAGGUGCCGGGGGCUUCUCCCGUUUUAAGAGAGACGGGAGAAGC